UACGGAAGGCAGCAGUGGGGAAUAUUGCACAAUGGGCGCAAGCCUGAUGCAGCCAUGCCGCGUGUAUGAAGAAGGCCUUCGGGUUGUAAAGUACUUUCAGUCGUGAGGAAGGUGUUAAGGUUAAUAACCUUAGCAAUUGACGUUAGCGACAGAAGAAGCACCGGCUAACUCCGUGCCAGCAGCCGCGGUAAUACGGAGGGUGCGAGCGUUAAUCGGAAUUACUGGGCGUAAAGGGCACGCAGGCGGUUAAUUAAGUUGGAUGUGAAAUCCCCGGGCUUAACCUGGGAAUGGCAUUCAAGACUGGUUAGCUAGAGUCUUGUAGAGGGGGUAGAAUUCCAUGUGUAGCGGUGAAAUGUGUAGAGAUGUGGAGGAAUACCGGUGGCGAAGGCGGCCCCUGGACAAAGACUGACGCUCAUGUGCGAAAGCGUGGGGAGCAAAC
rnacentral:rRNA from 1 species